rnacentral:tRNA from 1 species
UCAUGAGUAGUUGACGGUAAAACGUCUGCCUACAAUGUAGGAGACCCGGGUUUGAUCCCUGGGUCAGGAA